rnacentral:tRNA from 2 species
GGGGGCGAAUGGCAUUGACCGCCGAAUCCGCCAGUCAAAUUCGGCUCCGGCCGUCUGUCAUGCUGGAAACGGAGCGGCGGGACCCCGGUUCGAGUCCGGGCGCCUCCA